rnacentral:lncRNA from 1 species
ACUAUGCAUAAAAAAGUACUAAUGAAUUUAAUCCUGCAAUCUCUAAUUUAUAUAGAUAGUUUAUGAAACUAUUAUAUAAAUAAAUGUUAAAGCACCUUAACUGAAUUGGUCAAUAUGCUGGUAACUAAGGGACCUUGAAAAGUUCAGAGGUAUAAAUCUGAAAAACCUAAAGAAUCAUUUACAUACCUUCAGAAGGUAUGUCGAAUUGCUCAAAUUUGAUCUUACAAUUUUUUCUUUUUCAUUAGACUCUAGUGUAUAUUAUGCACUUUAACAUAAGGUUUA